rnacentral:rRNA from 1 species
AUUGAACGCUGGCGGCAGGCCUAACACAUGCAAGUCGAACGAGUGGCGGACGGGUGAGUAAUGUCUGGGAAACUGCCCGAUGGAGGGGGAUAACUACUGGAAACGGUAGCUAAUACCGCAUACCAUCGGAUGUGCCAAGAUGGGAUUAGCUAGUAGGGGGGGUAACGGCUCACCAAGGCGACGAUCCCUAGCUGGGUUGAGAGGAUGACCGGCCACACUGGAACUGAGACACGGCCCAGACUCCUACGGGAGGCAGCAGUGGGGAAUAUUGCACAAUGGGCGCAAGCCUGAUGCAGCCAUGCCGCGUGUGUGAAGAAGGCCUUCGGAUUGUAAAGUACUUUCAGUGGGGAGGCGUUACUCACAGAGGAAGCACCGGCUAACUCCGUGCCAGCCGCCGCGGUAAUAC